rnacentral:lncRNA from 1 species
UUGCCUACCUAACUUCUUUGCCUACAAAAAAGAAAUAAUCACACAACACAAGAUACAUGAAUAAUUUCUAACCAUCUAUAUAAAAACAAAAUUGUAUAAAUAAAAGUAAGAAAUAAAAGAGUUAUACCAAUCUAUUCUCAUGAACCUCCAGUUUUAUUGAACCACCAGAGUGUUUCGUAAUAGUCCCAUCUUUUUCUACGUUUCUAUUUGCUUUACCAGCUUCUGAUUUCUUUCUUCACUCUGGUGUACUCCAAUAUGCAACAAGUUCAUUCCAUAUCUCUGCCUCCAUCCAAUCUGGUCCUAAAUUGUAUAGAUAAGCAACAUCUGUCUUCUUGUGCUUGCGCAACAAUUCGCUCCUAACUCUAUUAAGAAUGUCU